GGCAAAACAUUGCCUUAUUUGGAUGACUUACACUCACACCGCACAUAUCUGCCAGCAGUGACCGCUCGCUUAACUUUCCAUUCCUUCUUCCCUAAACUGCAGACAGGUGUGUGUUCAAUGUGUGCAUGUGCCUGUGUUUGGACGGGGAGUGACGUGCCUGUGUGUGAAAAUAGUCAGGUAUCCAUUCUACUACUACGCAGCCAGCCUGGGUUUCAGGAUCAGAAUCUUUAUUCUUGGACCUUAUUUGUCAAGUCUGCGUCGACGCACCCGUCGCCCUGCUACCUCUGCCGUCAUCAAGGAGAUUACUGCAGUCCACUGGUUCCAGGAGUCCCUGUCAUGCCAAGAUUUCACAUGACUGGGCAAGGAUGGCAUAGACCAGCUAUGGGUGAGCCUGGGAGGGCAUAGACCCACCCACUUGGGAGCCAGGCCCAGCCACUGGGGAGCCAGGCCCAGCCAAUCAGAAUGAGUUUUUCCCCACUAAAGGGCUUUAUUACAGACAGAAGUACUCCUCAUUUUCAUCAGCUGUCUGGGUGGCUGGUCUCAGAUGAUCCCACAGGUGGUUACAUGUGGUCUGAGGUUGUGAGGCCGGUUGG